AACUGAUUGCAAGCCUGUUUCC
rnacentral:miRNA from 1 species